GCCUCGUUAGCGCAGUAGGCAGCGCGUCAGUCUCAUUCUCAAAUCUAGAAAUCUGAAGGUCGUGAGUUCGAUCCUCACACGGGGCA
rfam:Nematostella vectensis strain CH2 x CH6 NEMVEscaffold_536_Cont29571, whole genome shotgun sequence.